rnacentral:lncRNA from 1 species
CCUUCUCGUUAAAGCAAUCUAUGGUGGCGUGAUGCGCCGCUAACCAGUCCAUUCCUAAGAUUACAUCAAAAUCCCCCGUGUCUAACCCUAUCAAGUCUACACUCAGUUUCCUAUUUGCUAUCUCCACGGCACAAGCCCUAUAGAUAACUUCCCCUAAUAGUGUUUCACCCCCAAUAGUAGACACAAACAACAAUGAAUCAAGUUUAUCAGGUGAUACAUUAAGUUUGGAAGCAAAAACAUGUGAAACAAAUGAAUGCGAUGCACCAGUGUCAAAUAAAACAUGAGCAAUAUGGUCACAGAUAGUGUACAUAC